UUGCCAGCGGUGGAGCAUGUGGUUUAUUCGAUGCAACGCGAAGAACCUUACCUACUCUUGACAUCCAGAGAACUUAGCAGAGAUGCUUUGGUGCCUUCGGGAACUCUGAGACAGGUGCUGCAUGGCUGUCGUCAGCUCGUGUUGUGAAAUGUUGGGUUAAGUCCCGCAACGAGCGCAACCCUUAUCCUUUGUUGCCAGCGAUUCGGUCGGGAACUCAAAGGAGACUGCCGGUGAUAAACCGGAGGAAGGUGGGGAUGACGUCAAGUCAUCAUGGCCCUUACGAGUAGGGCUACACACGUGCUACAAUGGCGUAUACAAAGAGAAGCGACCUCGCGAGAGCAAGCGGAACUCAUAAAGUACGUCGUAGUCCGGAUUGGAGUCUGCAACUCGACUCCAUGAAGUCGGAAUCGCUAGUAAUCGUAGAUCACAAUGCGACGGUGAAUACGUUCCCGGGCCUUGUACAACCGUCGGAGU
rnacentral:rRNA from 1 species